ACCCAUGUCUUUUGAGUACUUACGUUUCCUCGGUGGGUUCGCCCGCCGAUUGGACAAUUUAAACCCUUUGCAGUUGCAAUCAGCGUCUGAAAAACAUAAUAGCUACAACUUUCAACAACGGAUCUCUUGGUUCUGGCAUCGAUGAAGAACGCAGCGAAAUGCGAUAAGUAGUGUGAAUUGCAGAAUUCAGUGAAUCAUCGAAUCUUUGAACGCACAUUGCGCCCCUUGGUAUUCCAUGGGGCAUGCCUGUUCGAGCGUCAUUUGUACCUUCAAGCUUUGCUUGGUGUUGGUGUUUGUCUCGCCUUUGCGUGUAGACUCGCCUUAAAACAAUUGGCAGCCGGCGUAUUGAUUUCGGAGCGCAGUACAUCUCGCGCUUUGCACUCAUAACGACGACGUCCAAAAGUACUUUUUUACAUUCUUGACCUCGGAUCAGGUAGG
rnacentral:rRNA from 1 species